CUCUAGACCUCGGAUCAGGCGAGACUACCCGCUGAAUUUAAGCAUAUAAAUAA
rnacentral:rRNA from 1 species